rnacentral:rRNA from 1 species
AUUGAACGCUGGCGGCAGGCCUAACACAUGCAAGUCGAACGAGUGGCGGACGGGUGAGUACUUGCUGGGAAACUGCCUGAUGGAGGGGGAUAACUACUGGAAACGGUAGGUAAUACCGCACAACAUCAGAUGUGCCCAGAUGGGAUUAGCUUGUUGGUGGGGUAACGGCUCACGAAGGCGCCGAUCCCUAGCUGGUCUGCGAGGAUGACCAGCAAAACUGGAACGGAGACACGGUCCAGACUCCUACGGGGGGCAGCAGUGGGAAAGAUUGCACAAUGGGCGCAAGCCUGAUGCAGCCAUGCCGCGUGUAUGAAGAAGGCCUUCGGGUUGUAAAGGACUUUCAGCGGGGAGGCGUUACCCGCAGAGGAAGCACCGGCUAACUCCGUGCCAGCAGCCGCGGUAAUUC